rnacentral:piRNA from 1 species
UGACAUGAACACAGGUGCUC